rnacentral:rRNA from 1 species
GCGAACGCUGGCGGCAGGCUUAACACAUGCAAGUCGAGCGGGCACUUCCGUGUCAGCGGCAGACGGGUGAGUAACACGUGGGAACGUACCCUUUGGUUCGGAAUAACGCUGGGAAACUAGCGCUAAUACCGGAUACGCCCUUUUGGGGAAAGGCUUGCUGCCGAAGGAUCGGCCCGCGUCUGAUUAGCUAGUUGGUGGGGUAAUGGCCUACCAAGGCGACGAUCAGUAGCUGGUCUGAGAGGAUGAUCAGCCACACUGGGACUGAGACACGGCCCAGACUCCUACGGGAGGCAGCAGUGGGGAAUAUUGGACAAUGGGCGCAAGCCUGAUCCAGCCAUGCCGCGUGAGUGAUGAAGGCCUUAGGGUUGUAAAGCUCUUUUGUCCGGGACGAUAAUGACGGUACCGGAAGAAUAAGCCCCGGCUAACUUCGUGCCAGCAGCCGCGGUAAUACGAAGGGGGCUAGCGUUGCUCGGAAUCACUGGGCGUAAAGGGCGCGUAGGCGGGCAUUCAAGUCGGGGGUGAAAGCCUGUGGCUCAACCACAGAAUUGCCUUCGAUACUGUUUGGCUUGAGUAUGGUAGAGGUCGGUGGAACUGCCAGUGUAGAGGUGAAAUUCGUAGAUAUUCGCAAGAACACCAGUGGCGAAGGCAGCCGACUGGACCAUUACUGACGCUGAGCGCGAAACGUGGGGAGCAACAGGAUAGAUCCCUGGUAGUCCCGCCGUAACGAUGAUGCUACUUUGGGUGUUGCCCUCAUAGGCACUACGCUUUAGCAUUCCUCUGGGAGACGGUCGCAGAUAAACUCAAUGAUUGAGGGGCCGCACAGCGGGGAGCUGUGUUUAUUCUAACACCCCAAACCUACAUCCUUGCUGUCUGCAUCCGAAGUCGGGUUCUUCCGGAGCAACCAGUGUGAUGCUUCUCACUCAGCAGAAUGUGGUAGUCUCCACAGCCACCAGUCUAGUGCUCAUCAUUGGAAUUAGGAAUGCGUGUAGCACAGAAGUUGAUACUAAUCUUAGCCUUCGGAGGUACACUGUCAUGGGUAAUGGACCAACCAAGUGGGAUCCAACCGUAGUUAUGACUGCACCGUG